rnacentral:rRNA from 1 species
CCUACGGGAGGCAGCAGUGAGGAAUAUUGGUCAAUGGACGAGAGUCUGAACCAGCCAAGUAGCGUGAAGGAUGACUGCCCUAUGGGUUGUAAACUUCUUUUAUAUGGGAAUAAAAUGUUCCACGUGUGGGAUUUUGUAUGUACAAUAUGAAUAAGGAUCGGCUAACUCCGUGCCAGCAGCCGCGGUAAUACGGAGGAUCCGAGCGUUAUCCGGAUUUAUUGGGUUUAAAGGGAGCGUAGGUGGAUUGUUAAGUCAGUUGUGAAAGUUUGCGGCGCAACCGUAAAAUUGCAGUUGAAACUGGCAGUCUUGAGUACAGUAGAGGUGGGCGGAAUUCGUGGUGUAGCGGUGAAAUGCUUAGAUAUCACGAAGAACUCCGAUUGCGAAGGCAGUUCACUGGACUGCAACUGACACUGAGGCUCGAAAGUGUGGGUAUCAAACAGGAUUAGAUACCCUAGUAGUC